rnacentral:rRNA from 1 species
GACGAAGGGGGCUAGCGUUGUUCGGAAUUACUGGGCGUAAAGCGCGUGUAGGCGGUUGUUCAAGUCAGGUGUGAAAGCCUUGAGCUCAACUCAAGAAAUGCACUUGAUACUGGAUGACUAGAGGACCGGAGAGGAUAGUGGAAUUCCCAGUGUAGUGGUGAAAUACGUAGAGAUUGGGAAGAACACCAGUGGCGAAGGCGGCUAUCUGGGAAGAUACUGACGCUGAGGUGCGAAAGCGUGGGGAGCAAACAGG